GUCUACAGCCAUGCCACCCUGAACAAGCCUGAUCCCGUCUGAUCUCAGAAGCUAAGCAAGGUCAGGCCUGGUUAGUACUUGGAUGGGAGACCACCUGGGAAGACCAGAUGCUGUAGGUG
rnacentral:rRNA from 1 species